rnacentral:rRNA from 1 species
UACAGAGGAGCCAAGCGUUGUCCGGAUUGACUGGGCGUAAAGCGCACGCAGGCGGACGCGCGCGUGGGGUGUGAAAUCUGGCCGCUUAACGGCCAGGCGCCAUCCCAUACGGCGCGUCUGGAGUGAUGCAGAGGUCGGUGGAAUUCCCGGUGUAGUGGUGGAAUGCGUAGAUAUCGGGAGGAACACCAGUGGCGAAGGCGGUUGCCUGGGGCUUUGCUGACGCUGAGGCGCGAAAGCGUGGGGAGCGAUCCGG